rnacentral:rRNA from 1 species
AUGGAGGAUUCGAUCUCGUGGAAGUUCUCCAAAGACGGCAAGUACUCCGCGGCCACGGCCUACAGUGGCCAAUUCCUUGGUUUGAUGGACACGGACAUGAACCAAAUUGUCUGGAAGAACUGGGCUCCUCCCAAGUGCAAGUUCUUUGCUUGGUUGGUCAUCAACAACAUGAUUUGGACAGCUGAUAGGCUACAACGCCGUGGGUGGCCAAAUUGUCACUUAUGCCCGUUGUGCAAGCAAGUUCAGGAAUCGGCGGCACACCUCCUUUUCCAGUGCAGGUUCACCGCCAGGGUGUGGGGCAUGCUUAAAAGUUGGUUGGGGCUGCAUGACAUUCAACUUGCGGAUUGGGCACCUUUCGAGUCUGUUAAGGCUUGGUGGAGACACAACGCCACGCAUAUGACCCAAUCGCAUCGCCCCCUGGUUUCGUUGAUGUUGCUUGUCUCUUGGAAGAUUUGGAAGGAGCGAAACGCGCGGGUUUUCGGUAAUACAACGGUCCCGGUAGGAGUGUUAGUCGCCAAGAUUAAAGAUGAAUGCUCGCUUUGGAUCCUUACGGGCGCAAAGUAUUUGUGA